rnacentral:rRNA from 1 species
UGGGGAAUUUUGGACAAUGGGCGCAAGCCUGAUCCAGCAAUGCCGCGUGCAGGAUGAAGGCCUUCGGGUUGUAAACUGCUUUUGUACGGAACGAAAAGCCUCUCUCUAAUACAGGGGGUGAUGACGGUACCGUAAGAAUAAGCACCGGCUAACUACGUGCCAGCAGCCGCGGUAAUACGUAGGGUGCAAGCGUUAAUCGGAAUUACUGGGCGUAAAGCGUGCGCAGGCGGUUUUGUAAGACAGUGGUGAAAUCCCCGGGCUCAACCUGGGAACUGCCAUUGUGACUGCAAGGCUGGAGUGCGGCAGAGGGGGAUGGAAUUCCGCGUGUAGCAGUGAAAUGCGUAGAUAUGCGGAGGAACACCGAUGGCGAAGGCAAUCCCCUGGGCCUGCACUGACGCUCAUGCACGAAAGCGUGGGGAGCAAAACAGGAUUAGAUACCCUGGUAGUCCACGCCCUAAAACGAUGUCAACUGGUUGUUGGGGAUUUAUUUCUUCAGUAACGAAGCUAACGCGUGAAGUUGACCGCCUGGGGGAGUACGGCCGCAAGGUUAAAAACUCAAAAUGAAUUGACGGGGUCAUAGCUGUUUCCU